AGCCGGAAGAGCGGGUCCCCGCUGGUGUUUGGGGCCCCCGGGCGGCUUGGAAGAGAAGGUGAGCUUUCAGAAAGCUUGUUCCCUCCCGGGAGGAGCCCGAGCCGAGCGUCUGGUCUCCUUAGGGAAUGGCGCUCGGCCAGACCGCUGCCCCGGUGUCACGGGAGGGACCGGGGGAUCGGAGAUUCCUGUAGAAGUGGCCUUCAUCUUGUCAUUGUUGAAUUUGGGGCCUUUUGGAUCAGGACAUACUUCAGUGCCAAGCAAUGAUACUACAUUGAAAAAAAAAAGGUAUUGCUGAAUGUUGGAAGGCCUAUUGCUUCAUCUUUGUUUU
rnacentral:lncRNA from 1 species